rnacentral:lncRNA from 1 species
CUCAUCCCCAGUCUCAAGGGGAAACCAGGACAAUGAGAACAGCCACUUGCCAUCAGGAGUCACUGAAGGGGCCCCAGGAUGGGAUGGUGGGGAGAUAAGAACCAUGAGAGAAGUUAGCACAAAGGAGUUAUGGGACAAAAGGUCCAAGAUAGGCAGAAAAGAAAAUGUUGCCAGUUGAUAGGGAAGAAAGGAAGUCAGAGGGCUCAGACACUGUGGGGGACAGAACAUCUCCAUGUGCACUCUCAUCUCUUGUAGUCAGCAACAGGUUUCCACAGGGAAGGCCCUACAUCAUCUGCUACCCUGAAAGAUCUGGAGGUAAGAGGCUCUGGGCAGAGGUGCAGUGACCCUUCGGGUCAACCCUCCAACCUCCUCCUCCAGGUGGGACUGGGUGCCCCUCUGCCAGCUGAGACAGCCCACACACCCCAGCCCUAACGAUCAUUCUCUCUACCUCUCCCCCGACUCCUGCUCCACCUCCUCCUCUCUGCAUGCACCUCAGAGCCCGUGCCAAGAACGAGCAGUAGUCCUGGAUUCAACGUCCGUAAAAAUCAGUCGACUGAAGAACACCAUCAAAUCUUUGAAACAACAGAAGAAACAAGUGGAACAUCAGCUGGAAGAAGAAAAGAAAGCAAACAACGAGAGACAGAAAGCCGAAAGGGAGCUAGAGGUGAGUGGAGGGUGUGCAGUUUCCUCCUGUCCUCCGGAGAAUGUUUCUUUCCUUCUCUUUCAGCACUUGCUUGGCUUUUCUCCCAAAGGUUCAAAUCCAGACAUUGAUCAUACAGAAAGAGGAACUAAAUACGGACCUGUGCCACAUGGAACGUUCUCUCAGAUACUUUGAAGGUGGGAAUCUGGGCACCCUGUCAUCCUUCAACCUGGCACUUUGACAGGUCUUCAGGGGGAGUCCCUUGGGCCCCAUCUCAACUCUCUCAUUACAGAAGAGUCCAAGGACCUGGCUGUCCACCUGCAAUAUUCAUUGCAGUGUAAAGGAGAGUUAGAGAGGGCUCUCUCUGCUGUCAUCGCCACAGAGAAGAAGAAGGCAAACCAGGUGAGUCC